ACCUUGGCUCUAGACUGCUUACUGUGAAACUGGGCUAUAGGAACAGUAACAGUCUACAGUCAUGGCUAC
rnacentral:pre_miRNA from 1 species